rnacentral:rRNA from 1 species
UACGUAGGGUGCGAGCGUUGUCCGGAAUUAUUGGGCGUAAAGGGCUCGUAGGCGGUUUGUCGCGUCGGGAGUGAAAACCCAGGGCUUAACCCUGGGCUGGCUUCCGAUACGGGCAGACUAGAGGUAUGCAGGGGGAGAACGGAAUUCCUGGUGUAGCGGUGAAAUGCGCAGAUAUCAGGAGGAACACCAAUGGCGAAGGCAGCUCUCUGGGACGGUACUGACGCUGAGACGCGAAAGCGUGGGGAGCGAACAGG